UUAUGCUAAUAAGAGCGUAUGGUGGAUGCCUUGGCACUAAGAGCCGAUGAAAGACGUGAUAAGCUGCGAAAAGCUUCGGGGAGGAGCAAAUAUCCAUUGAUCCGGAGAUAUCUGAAUGGGGAAACCUACUUGAGAAAACCUCAAGUAUCCACAGCCCAAUCCAUAAGCUGUGGAAGGGAACCCGGUGAACUGAAACAUCUAAGUAGCCGGAGGAAGAGAAAACAACAUGUGAUUCCGUAAGUAGCGGCGAGCGAACGCGGAAGAGCCCAAACCGGAGUGCGUGCACUCCGGGGUUCGGACUGCAGGAUUGACGAGUGAGCCUAGUAGAAUGGUUUUGGGAAAGCCAGCCAGAGAGGGUGAAAGCCCCGUACACGAAAGGCAAGCGAGCAUGGCAGGAUCCAGAGUACCACGAGACACGUGAAACCUUGUGGGAAUGAGCGGGGACCACCCCGUAAGGCUAAAUACUCCUUAGUGACCGAUAGCGCAUAGUACUGUGAAGGAAAGGUGAAAAGGACCCCGGGAGGGGAGUGAAAGAGAACCUGAAACCCUGUGUUUACAAGCUGUGGGAGCACGUUAAGGUGCAACCGCGUACUUUUUGUAGAACGGUCCGGCGAGUUGCCGGUGCUGGCAAGGUUAAAUGGUACAGCCAUGGAGCCGAAGGGAAACCAAGUCUCAAAUGGGCGUAAAGUCAGCACAGGCAGACCCGAAACCGGGUGACCUAUCCAUGUCCAGGAUGAAGCGGAAGUAAAAUUCCGUGGAGGUCCGGAUCCACAUCCGUUGAAAAGGGUGGGAAUGAGGUGUGGAUAGGGGAGAAAUUCCAAUCGAACCCGGAGAUAGCUGGUUCUCCUCGAAAUAGCUUUAGGGCUAGCCUCAUGCAAGUCUUACGGAGGUAGAGCACUGAAUUCCUAAGGGGGCGUCAAAGCUUACCAAGGGAUAUCAAACUCCGAAUGCCGUGUAGAUGGUGCAUGGGAGUCAGACUAUCCGAGAUAAGUUGGGUAGUCAAAAGGGAAAGAGCCCAGACCUACAGCUAAGGUCCCAAAAUGUGUGUUAAGUGGAAAAGGAUGUGGGAUUUCGAAGACAACUAGGAUGUUGGCUUAGAAGCAGCCAUCCAUUAAAAGAGUGCGUAAUAGCUCACUAGUCGAGAGGUCCUGCGCCGAAAAUGUCCGGGGCUGAAACACACUACCGAAGCUUGGGAAUUGACGAAUGUUAAUUGGUAGAGGAGCAUUCUUAACGGGGCGAAGCUGUACCGGAAGGAGCAGUGGACUGUUAAGAAGAGAGAAUGCCGGAAUGAGUAGCGAGAGGAAGGUGAGAAUCCUUCCGGCCGAAUAUCUAAGGUUUCCAGAGUAAAGCUGAUCUGCUCUGGGUAAGUCGGGGCCUAAGGCGAGGUCGAAAGACGUAGUCGAUGGAUAACAGGUAAAGAUUCCUGUACUGUAUCAUAACAGAACUGUGGGGACGCAGACAGAGAGCAUAAGCCGGGAAUGGAAAGACCGGUACAAGCGAGGUAGGAGUGCAUCAGGCAAAUCCGGUGCACAAUCUGAAGACGUGAUGUGGGGCGUAAAGCCGGAAGUAUGUGAGCUGGCUGCCAAGAAAAGCCGCUAUUGUUUAUGAUAUACCCGUACCGUAAACCGACACAGGUGGAUGAGGAGAGAAUCCUAAGGCCGACGGGAGAAGCAUUGUUAAGGAACUCGGCAAAAUGACUCCGUAACUUCGGGAGAAGGAGUGCCAUGUAAAAGUGGCCGCAGAGAAUUGGCCCAAGCAACUGUUUAGCAAAAACACAGGUCUAUGCAAAACCGAAAGGUGAGGUAUAUGGGCUGACGCCUGCCCGGUGCUGGAAGGUUAAGGGGAGAGGUUAGCCGUAAGGCGAAGCUUUGAACUUAAGCCCCAGUAAACGGCGGCCGUAACUAUAACGGUCCUAAGGUAGCGAAAUUCCUUGUCGGGUAAGUUCCGACCCGC
rnacentral:rRNA from 1 species